AUUAACGCUGGCGGCGUGUAUAAUACAUGCAAGUCGUACGGUAGUCGCAAGACUGCAGUGGCAAACGGGUGAGGAACGCGUUGGAACCUGCCUCGCACUCAGGGAUAGCUCGUCGAAAGACGAAUUAAUACCGGAUGGUCCCGCAAGGGUAAAGCUUUUGCGGUGCGAGAGGGGCCUGCGUAGUAUCAGCUAGUUGGUAAGGUAACGGCUUACCAAGGCUAUGACGCUUAGCUGGUCUGAGAGGACGACCAGCCACAAUGGGACUGAGACACGGCCCAUACUCCUACGGGAGGCAGCAGUAGAGAAUAUUUCGCAAUGGGGGAAACCCUGACGAAGCAACGCCGCGUGAUCGAUGAAGGCCUUCGGGUUGUAAAGAUCUUUUCUGGGGGACUAAUUCUGAAUGUACCCUAGGAAUAAGCACCGGCUAACUCUGU
rnacentral:rRNA from 1 species